rnacentral:rRNA from 1 species
CCUGAGUACGACGGAGCACGUGAAAUUCCGUCGGAAUCUGGGAGGACCAUCUCCUAAGGCUAAAUACUCUCUAGUGACCGAUAGUGAACCAGUACCGUGAGGGAAAGGUGAAAAGUACCCCGGAAGGGGAGUGAAAGAGAACUUGAAACCGUGUGCUUACAAGUAGUCAGAGCCCGUUAAUGGGUGAUGGCGUGCCUUUUGUAGAAUGAACCGGCGAGUUACGAUCUGAUGCAAGGUUAAGCAGAAAAUGUGGAGCCGUAGCGAAAGCGAGUCUGAAUAGGGCGAAUGAGUAUUUGGUCGUAGACCCGAAACCAGGUGAUCUACCCUUGGUCAGGUUGAAGUUCAGGUAACACUGAAUGGAGGACCGAACCGACUUACGUUGAAAAGUGAGCGGAUGAACUGAGGGUAGCGGAGAAAUUCCAAUCGAACUUGGAGAUAGCUGGUUCUCUCCGAAAUAGCUUUAGGGCUAGCCUCAAGUGAUGAUUAUUGGAGGUAGAGCACUGUUUGGACGAGGGGCCCCUCUCGGGUUACCGAAUUCAGACAAACUCCGAAUGCCAAAUAAUUUAACUUGGGAGUCAGAAUGUGGGUGAUAAGGUCCAUAUUCGAAAGGGAAACAGCCCAGACCACCAGCUAAGGUCCCAAAAUAUAUGUUAAGUGGAA